UGAAUUUUCUUGUAACUUGUAGGUCAGUAUUUCUAAUUAUAAUGAUCAGCUUAAGAUGGGAUUACUAUUACUACAUCCAGCUAUGUAGCAAUUGGGUACCAUGGUCAGACUUGUAACUCUAUGUACAUUCCAUUUUAGAAUUUAUAUGGUUGACAAACACGGCAUGGUCUGUAAGGUGGACGUGGAUCUGAUAGUAAUGGACGGUGUUAAAUAAGGAA